UCACCUGUUUUUCAAAAACAUGUCUUAAAGAAAAAUAAUUUUAAGUCUAAUCUGCUCAAUGAUUAUAUUUUAAAUAGCCGCAGUAUAAAUAACUGUGCUAAGGUAGCAUAAUAAAUAGUUUUUUAAUUAAAAACUCGUAUGAAUGAUUUAAUGAAGUAUAAACUGUAUUAAAAUUAUUUUUUAAACUUUUCAUUUAAGUAAAAAAAUUUAAAUUUUUAUUAAAGACGAGAAGACCCUAAAGAAUUUUUAUUAAUUAAAUUUUUUAAAUUAAAUUUAAUUAAUUUUAAUUGGGGCAAUUUUAAAAUUUAAUAAACUUUUAAUUAAAAAUCUUAAACAUUUAUUUUUGAAUAAAUUUUAUUUUUCUAAAAAAAAUAAUAAAUUACCUUAGGGAUAACAGCAUAAUUUUUUUUAAAAGUUCAAAUUUAUAAAAAAGUUUAUGACCUCG
rnacentral:rRNA from 1 species